GCCGGCUUAACUCAGUUGGCAGAGUAGCGCACUCGUAACGCGCAAGUCGGAGGUUCGAAUCCUCUAGCCGGCACCA
rnacentral:tRNA from 1 species